rnacentral:rRNA from 1 species
UACGUAGGGGCCUAGCGUUGUCCGGAUUUAUUGGGCGUAAAGAGCUCGUAGGCGGUUCGGUAAGUCAGGUGUGAAAUCUCCAAGCUCAACGUGGAGGGGCCACCUGAUACUGCCGUGACUCGAGUCCGGUAGGGGAGUGUGGAAUUCCCGGUGUAGCGGUGAAAUGCGCAGAUAUCGGGAGGAACACCAGUAGCGAAGGCGGCACUCUGGACCGGAACUGACGCUGAGGAGCGAAAGCGUGGGCAGCAAACAGG